CCGGGCUCCGAGGCCACCGGGCCCCGAGGUCACCCAGGCCACCGGGCUCCGAGGCCACCGGGCCCCGAGGUCACCCAGGCCACCGGGCUCCGAGGCCACCGGGCGGGCGCUCCACCGAGGGGCCGGGGACGCUGGGGUGUCCUUUCUUGUCACAAGAAGACACUCGCAGAAGAACCACACUCGCAGGACCUUCUUAAAAUCUCACUUGCUCUGGUCUGAUAGCCGGCUGCUGCUUCCCAAGGUUCAGAAAAGUUCGUAGGAGAGCGAAUCUGCUGUAAAUGGAACCUAUCUGGACUUGAAGUUGGAAAAACAAAGGUAUAAAUAGCUACUUCCCAGCUACCAACUCAGAACACACACUCAAUGGAACAAAGCUGCCUUACUCAUUGGUGGAGCCACACACAGAGCAUACCAAGCCAUGCUUUAUACCCAGGAAAUUCUUGCAGAGUAUUCGUUGAACACAUGAGCCAAGGACAUGAUGGAUGAGAAGGGAUCUGUAAUCGACAUGAGGUCUCUCAGCCACUCUGGGACUGGGUUAGGAUGCCAAUCUGACUUGGAUAAUUGUUCAGGAUCCAGCAGUCUUACUCUUCACAUUUUGAAUAUUUCAUUACACGUGUUUCCGCAUCCGAUGCUUCUGAGAAGUCAAGGAGA